rnacentral:snRNA from 1 species
GGAUGUGAGGUCCAUCUGACUGUGACAUCUGUCACCCCACUGAUUGCCAAGGUUGAUUGGACUGAUCUGGCUGGCUAGUGUCUCCCUCCCUCACUACUCCAUGUGUGUCCCUCCCCAAACUGUGCACUCAGUCAAAGAGGAUGUUCUUUGGUCAAGGGUAUAGGAGUAGCUGUGCUGCCCUGCUAGAACCUCCAAACAAGCUCUCAAACUCCCCAAAUCAACAACUGGAGUUUUAUAUUGUUGAUCCAUAAUGGGGCUUAAACAAGUUAAAGAAAAAGAAAAAAAAGCCUUAAUCUACUAUAUGUUUAA